CCUACGGGUGGCAGCAGUGAGGAAUAUUGGUCAAUGGUCGGGAGACUGAACCAGCCAAGCCGCGUGAGGGAUGAAGGUACAGAGUAUCGUAAACCUCUUUUGUCAGGGAACAAAGGCGGGGACGUGUCCCCGGAUGAGUGUACCUGAAGAAAAAGCAUCGGCUAACUCCGUGCCAGCAGCCGCGGUAAUACGGAGGAUGCGAGCGUUAUCCGGAUUGAUUGGGUUAAAGGGAUGCGCAGGCGGUCUGUUAAGUCAGCGGUCAAAGCCCGGGGCUCAACCCCGGCCCGCCGUUGAAACUGGCAGUCUUGAGUUGGAGAGAAGUAUGCGGAAUGCGCGGUGUAGCGGUGAAAUGCAUAGAUAUCGCGCAGAACUCCGAUUGCGAAGGCAGCAUGCCGGCUCCACACUGACGCUGAGGCACGAAAGCGUGGGUAUCGAACAGGAUUAGAUACCCCUGUAGUC
rnacentral:rRNA from 1 species